GAUGAACGCUGACAGAAUGCUUAACACAUGCAAGUCUACUUGAUUCUACUUCGGUAGUUGAUGGUGGCGGACGGGUGAGUAACGCGUAAAGAAUCUGCCCUUUAGUUUGGGAUAACCUUUGGACACGAAGGCUAAUACCGGAUAUUAUGGAGACGUCGCAUGGCGACUCCAUGAAAGCUAUAUGCGCUAGAGGAGGACUUUGCGUCCCAUUAGUUAGUUGGUGAGGUAAUGGCUCACCAAGACCGCGAUGGGUAGCCGGCCUGAGAGGGUGAUCGGCCACAAGGGGACGAAGACACGGUCCUUACGCCUACGGGAGGCAGCAGUGGGGAGUAUUGGACAAUGGGCCACAAGCCUGAUCCAGCAAUUCUGUGUGCACGAUGAAGGUCUUCGGAUUGUAAAGUGCUUUCAGUAGGGAAGAAAAAAAUGACGGUACCUACAGAAGAAGCGACGGCUAAAUAUGUGCCAGCAGCCGCGGUAA
rnacentral:rRNA from 1 species